GCCAAGGUGGUGAAACGGUAGACACGCAUGGUUUAGGACCAUGUGCCGAAAGGCAUGGAGGUUCGAUUCCUCUCCUUGGCA
rnacentral:tRNA from 1 species